rnacentral:rRNA from 1 species
UACGGGGGGAGCAAGCGUUGUUCGGAUUUACUGGGCGUAAAGGGCGCGUAGGCGGCCUCUGCAAGUCGACUGUGAAAUCUCCGGGCUUAACCCGGAAAGGUCAGCCGAUACUGCAGGGCUAGAGUGCAGAAGGGGCAACUGGAAUUCUCGGUGUAGCGGUGAAAUGCGUAGAUAUCGAGAGGAACACCUGCGGCGAAGGCGGGUUGCUGGGCUGACACUGACGCUGAAGCGCGAAAGCUGGGGGAGCGAACGGG